UCGACCUCGGAUCAGGUAGGGAUACCCGCUGAACUUAAGCAUAUCAAUAAGCGGAGGAAAAGAAACCAACAGGGAUUGCCUCAGUAACGGCGAGUGAAGCGGCAACAGCUCAAAUUUGAAAUCUGACCCCGUCGGGGCCCGAGUUGUAAUUUGUAGAGGGUGUUUCGGGUGCGGCGCCGGUCUAAGUUCCUUGGAACAGGACGUCAUAGAGGGUGAGAAUCCC
rnacentral:rRNA from 1 species